CCUGAAGCAGGUUUCAUAGCGGCGGAUCCCCGGGGGAACCGAGCCCUGACAUCUGGGUCACAGGACCUUUAACACCUCAUUAGAGGAAGUGGGUCAGUGACGAGCAGGAGCAGAACCACACUGGGUUCAUAUUCCAGGACGAGGGUCCUGCAGGUUCUCCGACUCAUGUAAGAAGCUCGUGUGAUCGAACGUGAGUGAAAGAACACAGAGACGCAGACUGAGUCAGCAAGUGUGAGCCGACGCAACGUGUUGCGACAGCCCGCGUGAAGGAAUGUCGGCCGGCUCGUAACCAGAGGAGCUCCAGGCGACCCCUUCACCCCCGGAGGUCCUGAGCCAACCGGUCGCUCUGCUGCGGUCACGUGGUCUUCUGUGAUGUCAUGAAGGUUCAAAGGAGGAAUCUUCCCUCCCCCACGUGUCCGUUGUUAGCCACGUUAGCUCCUUGGACGGUUUCUCCUCCACGUCUGUUGUCUUAUUCAUUCAGAUAUUCGUGCUCCCCAGAGGACAGACCCUCCUCACGUUGUCACUAGUCGAUAUUCGCUCAAAUCGUGUGGAAAAAAAAAAAACUGUGCGAAAGCCGUUCACAUGAAGCGCUGUUGCUAAUGCUGCUAACAAGCUAGCCGUAGUGUCACCCGUUGGCUUCCUCUCAAUAAUUCAUUUCAUUAGAGGAUGAACGGGAUGAUGAACACGAGCAGCUGCUGCUACAAAUGUUCUUUUCUUUGUGACUUUUGUGUUUCUGACGCGUUGAAACAAACUUUAAAGCCACGUUUUCCGCUCAGCUUUCGUCCGUCUGCAGGAUGGAAACAGACACGAAUGUUUUCCAGCUGAGGAAUCUGCUUUUAAUGAAUAUCAAGGGAAGUAACCUGUUGAAUCAGCCAAGUGACAUUAUCAAGUCUUCUACGAGUAAAAGCGGACGUUUCCCACUGAGCUCCAAAGGUGGCCGCCCACAUGAAGAGGGUCCAGACCCCCUGGAAGGGGACCGGGGUGCUCCGGAAGUCCACCGUGAGCCCUCUGCAGUGACUUUCUCGUGUAACAAAGGAGCGUUGUGCGUUUCAUAACACAACACAUCUUCUGUGUGGUCUAUUUUAAUUUGGACCUUUCAUUCUGGCCUUUCUCUGUUCUCAGAGGGAACAAAUUGUCUUCCCACAAUCCUCGAGUCUCACACUCCUGUAGCUGCUAUUCGCCCGAGUGUUGGAGCUGUGGGUGGAGAGAGGAAGUCCAGAAGAAGGGACGCUAAUGGGAACAUUUCAGUGUGAAGAUCGCAAACUGUCGUCUCACUUAAAUGCGCUGAUUCGCUUUCUUUCUUUUCGCUCCUCCUGAGAGUUGGAUGAGGAGCGACGCGAAGCUCAGCACGAAGAAGAAAGACUCACGGCAGGAAAACGCUCUGCUGCAUGUUUGUGAAUCAAGUAUUUUCAGUGUGAAUAAUGAAAACUGCAAAUCCCUGUCAUGAUUUUCAGUGUGUCUCAUUUGUUGUUUAGCGUUGCUGCAUCCAGAUGGAGGUCCUUCCUAAGUGAGCAGAAACGAUAAAACACACAGCGUUAAUCCUCCUGGAAACCACGCGUGUUAUAAAGAAGCUGAAUGACAACAUUUGGUACUUUAUUUGUAACUGAACCGCUUUCUUUUAAGUGACGUGCUUGUUGUGAACUGUUUGUUCCCUACAAAGACUUCUUCUAUUCUCUCUGCUUCAUGAGGAGUCGACAAGAUGUUCAUUAUGUUACAAACUCCACUGACGUCUGUGAGGGAGGCUGACAGAGAAAGAGAGGCAUUAUGGGGGUUGGGG
ensembl:lncRNA